UACGAAGGGUGCAAGCGUUACUCGGAAUUACUGGGCGUAAAGCGUGCGUAGGUGGUUCGUUAAGUCUGUCGUGAAAGCCCCGGGCUCAACCUGGGAAUGGCGAUGGAUACUGGCGAGCUAGAGUGCGGUAGAGGAGAGUGGAAUUCCCGGUGUAGCAGUGAAAUGCGUAGAGAUCGGGAGGAACAUCAGUUGCGAAGGCGGGUCUCUGGGCCGAUACUGACGCUGAGGAGCGAAAGCGUGGGGAGCGAACAGG
rnacentral:rRNA from 1 species